AUUGAACGCUGGCGGCAGGCCUAACACAUGCAAGUCGAGCGAGCGGCGGACGGGUGAGUAAUGUAUGGGGAUCUGCCCGAUAGAGGGGGAUAACUACUGGAAACGGUAGCUAAUACCGCAUACCAUAGGAUGAGCCCAUGUGGGAUUAGGUAGUUGGUGAGGUAAAGGCGCACCCAGCCGACGAUCUCUAGCUGGUCUGAGAGGAUGAACAGCAACAAUGGGACGGAGACACGGCCCAGAAUCCGACGGGAGGCAGCAGUGGGGAAUAUUGCGCAAUGGGUGCAAGCCUGAAGCAGCCAUGCCGCGUGUAUGAAGAAGGCCUUAGGGUUGUAAAGUACUUUCAGCGGGGAGGCGUUACCCGCAGAAGAAGCACCGGCUAACUCCGUGCCAGCAGCCGCGGUAAUUC
rnacentral:rRNA from 1 species